CACUUUCUGCCAUCGGUUGAAACCAGCUGAGACCCUCAGCAGAAGUUAAGCAGAUGCAAGAACCAUGAUUUUGGAUUUUGUAGUCUCCAACCCUGAGGCAAAGGAAAAUUCUAUUCUUUAUAAGUCACUCAGCUACAGGUGUCUGUUUACCACAACAAAAAUGGACUGAGACAGUCAUAUAUAAAAAGAAUGAGUGAUAAAGUUGGAAAGAUCAGAAAUCAAGAACAUUACACAAGGGGGCAAAACUUCUGGAAAAAGAUCAGUGCCAUUUUAAGGGCAACAGUCAAUAUCACUCUUAUUUGGAUCAUCCCAAAUUGCAAUGAAGGGUAUUACAUGUUGCAAUGCUAUAUUCAGAAGUUCAGUGAGAAGAAAUCGAAGCCUUCCCUAUGAGGAAGUUUUUGCAGUGUGCUGCCCAGUUCCCUUUCUCCAGUCCACAGUUGAUGGGAAAAGAAGCAAAAAAAGACAUGGGUGUUGAAAGCCAUGACAAAAACGUCACAGUAGCCAGCCUCAACCUGAAGUAGAGCAUAUCUAAGCAAACUGCAAAAAUGGGGCCCAGAUUCCGGGCUGAACUAUGCCAGAAGUCCACCAUUUCUAUGAAGUUUUGUUCCCAUAUCAAUA